rnacentral:lncRNA from 1 species
AACCGAACCACCGAAACUUCAUUCUAACAGCGAACCAACAACCUAUACUACACAAUUCAUAAUCAACAGAUAUAUCCAACAGUAUCUCAACAUCAACCUCAUAUCCUCAUAUAAGAGCAAAUAGAUCAUAUAUCACAUGAAGAGGGGCAAAUAGGUAAAAUCCACACACCACAGACAAAGAUGAAGUGAAAUGCGAUGCAAAUGCAAUAAUGAUGUCAUGUAGUCG